UUUUAUAUUCAUUUGCCCUAAUGGCAUCAGAGCCUAUCUGAUCUUGGAAGCCAAGCAGGGUCAAACCUAGUUAGUACUUUAACGGGAGCCCGUUAGAGAAUACUAGAUGAUUCAGGCU
rnacentral:rRNA from 1 species